CAAGAGUACGUGAAACCGUUUAGGGGUAAACCUGAGAAACCCGAAAGGUCGAAGGGAGAAAUUCAUUCGCGUCUCGAGGCAGGCGUCGGACGGGGUCGAGCGACGGAACGGGCGCGCGUUUUUCUUCGGAAUCGCGCGUUCGACUUCGCGCCCUCCGUCCGUUCGAACCGGCAGCGAACGCGUGCACUUUUCUCCUGGUAGGACGUCGCGAUCCGUCGGGCGUCGGUCUACGACUUGCGGCGGAGACCGUCCGUCGUUCUUCGGAACGUACGGCGCGGACCCGCUCGUUCCGGCCGACUCGCUCGACGGUACAAAUCGAGGUCUGGGGUCGCUGCUACUUUUAGUCUCGCGUUCGCGCGCGAGACGAAAAAGAGAGCGUUCGACUCGUCGCAAGCGCGUCACGUGCGUCGGCACGCGGACCCGGUGCCGCGUCCGAUCUCUGGCGACUGUUGGCGACGAUUAGUUCUCGAACAGACUUCCCUCUCGGGGGGGGAGAGAGGGGUCAAACUCUUUCUCUCUCUCUCGAAGACCGAUCGGCGACGCUAUAGCUUUGGGUACUUUCAGGACCCGUCUUGAAACACGGACCAAGGAGUCUAGCAUGUACGCGAGUCAUUGGGAUUUUUACUAAACCUAAAGGCGCAAUGAAAGUGAAGGUUUUCCUCGCGAAGACCGUGGGAAGACGGACGGGUGUUGGUUAAAGGUACGAGGUACACCGACUCGAUCGCCCGUCCCGCAUUCCCGGGGCGUCUCGUUCGCAUCGCGCGAAGAGGCGCACCGCGAGCGUACACGCUGGGACCCGAAAGAUGGUGAACUAUGCCUGGUCAGGACGAAGUCAGGGGAAACCCUGAUGGAGGUCCGUAGCGAUUCUGACGUGCAAAUCGAUCGUCGGAACUGGGUA
rnacentral:rRNA from 1 species